rnacentral:rRNA from 1 species
AGGACGAACGCUGGCGGCGUGCCUAACACAUGCAAGUGGAGCGACGAACCGGGCUUCGGCCCGGGGCAGAGCCGCGAACGGGUGAGUAACACGUGGGUAACCUGCCCUGAUGAUUGGGACAACCCGAGGAAACUCGGGCUAAUACCGAAUGUGCCCUCUGGCCUCAAGGCCUCUGGGGAAAGGAAGCUUCGGCCUCCGCAUUGGGAUGGGCCCGCGGCCCAUUAGCUUGUUGGUGAGGUAACGGCUCACCAAGGCUACGAUGGGUAGCUGGUCUGAGAGGACGAUCAGCCACACUGGGACUGAGACACGGCCCAGACUCCUACGGGAGGCAGCAGUGAGGAAUAUUGCUCAAUGGACGAAAGUCUGAAGCAGCAACGCCGCGUGAGGGAUGAAGGUGCUCUGCAUCGUAAACCUCUGUAGUCGGGGAAAAUGACGAACGAUCGUUCGUUUGAUGGUACCGAAAGUAGGAUCGGCUAACUACGUGCCAGCAGCCG